UACUAAGUCCUAUAAUGCUCUACAAGGCACAUUUGCUGAUAGUAGUCAGCUGGCGGAUGUCAAGGCUCUCCUGGCAAUGCAUCAUCAUGAUCACUGCAUCGGAAAUCAUUGUAGCGGAGAGCUGGUCUCCCACAGCCUAUUUCCGCUGGUAUUCUAGAAUGGCUCAGGAACAAGUAGUAAAUCCAAUAGAGUAGCAGGCACAAUCAGCAAUAUAUUCCAAGAAUAUCCCAUCACCUUUCCCAAUAACUGGAUGACACACAGUAUCAGGAG